rnacentral:rRNA from 1 species
GACGAACGCUGGCGGCGUGCUUAACACAUGCAAGUCGAGCGGUAAGGCCCUUUCGGGGGUACACGAGCGGCGAACGGGUGAGUAACACGUGGGUGACCUGCCCUCAGCUCUGGGAUAAGCCUGGGAAACCGGGUCUAAUACUGGAUAUGACUCCAUGACGCAUGUUGUGGGGUGGAAAGCCUUGUGCGGCUGAGGAUGGGCCCGCGGCCUAUCAGCUUGUUGGUGGGGUGANGGCCUACCAAGGCGACGACGGGUAGCCGGCCUGAGAGGGCGACCGGCCACACUGGGACUGAGACACGGCCCAGACUCCUACGGGAGGCAGCAGUGGGGAAGUCUUGCGCAAUGGGCGAAAGCCUGACGCAGCGACGCCGCGUGAGGGAUGACGGCCU